AAAUCCCAGAGAGCUGAGGGGGGCAGCAGGAAGAGGAAGUGAACACACCUAGACAGUCACGCCCCUCAGCUUCUGGCAUGGGCCACUGCAGGCAUGUGGCUGUAUUUCCUGAAAUAAAGGAUCUUAGCAUUUAAUUAUCUCUGAUGGAAAGAUGCAGGCUGAAGUUGCUGAGCUGGCAGCUUUAAGGACUGUGCAGGUGAUUUGCUGAUUUCCUAAGCAUCAUACAGGACAUCUGUGGCAGAGACAGAAGAGAACCUAGUGCUUGAGGACACCGUAUUUUUUCUUAUGAACUCUUGCUUCACAUAACAUGUUUUCAGCUUCUGCAAUAAAUGAAGCAGAAGCUCCUAAUGACAAAAUGCUCCUUCACUACAUUGCUCUGAUGCAAACCUAGACCAGGUUUAUCUAAACUUAAGAGAAAGAGCCAAGGGUCUUAAGGGGAAAAAAAAGACGUGAUCAUGGAAUUCAUGAUAGCAUUUUGUAUGUUUUGAUCUUUUGGCUCUAAUCUUAGAUUGUUUAAAUACAUGGGGUUAUUUCGUGUUGGGGUUUCUUUUGGGGGGGGUUUGGAGGAGGGGGUUGCACACAAUUUUGUAGGCUUUAAAAAGCAAACAAAAACCCAAAUUCCACUGCAUGUCAUCAUAUUGUCAUACACAUCCUUCUCCAACAGGGGUGGGCCCUUUAGAUCAACCACACAAAUCUCUGCCUUGUGAGCUAACCAAUUUACAAAUGGCAGUAACAGGAUGCCAUUUUCUUUAUGGAGCAACACUAGAGGAAUAUGUUGUUGACAGCAAUGGAAUGGUGAGACUCAGAAAUCUUAGAUUUUAUUCCAGGCUCAGGAUAAGAGGGCUCUAGUGGACCUGCAUACCUCUGCCCAUUCCCUAUGCCACUUAUUCCCACAUGUACCACCCUCUGUAAUUUAUCCCAAUCCAGAACCUGUCUUCCUUUACCUGGCUCCUUUUCCAAAUCCCAUCCUCUUGUCCACCCACUCUGUCUCUUCCCCUUCCAAGCUUGCUGUCUAACUCCCACUUUCUCCUUCUGCCCUCAAUAUCCCAUAACAAGUUCCUUGUCCAGCCCUUAUCUGUCUCCUUUCUCCUGCUUCCUGGAUUCCUAUUGUCAGCCUCCAGUUUCAGGAAGUUGCAGUGUCUCUCACCCAGUCAGCAGUCCCCCAGUUUCACCCUGCCCAGUACCUUAAUACUAUUUCUUUCUGCCACCACUGACUCAGUCCAACUGUUCCCAUGGUAUACAUUUGUCCAGACAGGAAAUUUCUCUCCCCAGUAUCCACCUACUCCUUUCUUCCUUCCUAGUCUCACUUACCCCUUCUGUAUUCAAAUCAGAUAGCUUCUUCAACACUGCCUGGGUGCCAGUAGUGAAUGAUUGAGAGUUUGUGGACACACAGGAAAGACAAGUCCCCUGAUCUCAACUGCAGUGGCCCAAAAUACCCUGGAUGGCAGCAGGUAGGAGAAGCCAAUACAGGAAAAGCUUAAUUUUGCCACUGAAGCCUUCGGUGGGAGACCACUCAGUUUUUUUCUGAGGAAAGGGAACUUGCAUUCCUCAUACCUUAGGAACAGCAAGGGGAUGGAGCACGCUCAAGAAGGAUAUUUUAGAGAGAUUCUGGCACAUGCUAACUGCAGCUUUUCAAAGGUUUUUAAAUUUGGCCAAAUUUGGGUUUAUUUACAAAAAAGAACGCCAACAGGCAUUUUCCUCUAGUAAAAACGCCUUGCUGCCAAAUUUCAAGUCCCUGUUCUAAAACAUGGAAGUGUCAGACCUUCUCAGAGGUUUGUUUGUGUGUGUGGGGGGUUUUUUGUUUUGUUUUGUUUUUUUAGCAAAAACAAAACAAAACAAAAAACCUGAAAACCUUUACAUUUCCCCAUUUCCACUCUGAAAUGGAUGAACUUUUCAAAAAACAAAAAAAGUCAGCUUGUGACAGUCAUCUGGUGAGGAAAAAAAAGCAGUUCAAAUGGCUAUGUUUGCCAAUCAAAACAAUCAUUACAAUAAACACCAGAGGAUUUUGUAUUUACACACAUAUGACAGCUGCACCCUUGAUUACUAUCUCAAAAUUUUGAAAAACAGGUAUUUGUGUAAUGAUCACAUCCAAUUUCCAAAGAAACCCAUAACACAAGGUGUAGCAGUUUCACUUUGCGUUAAGUCUUGUCUACAAAAUUGUACAGAUGAAGACAUGGAGACAAAUGUUUGAACACAAAAUUACAGGUUUUGUUUAGUCGUGGCACUUCCUCAGUCUUUAUCUAGGGUGCAUGUAAUGGGGGCACCUGCUCUCUUGGAAACAAAAUUUCAGGAAAACAAAAUCACAGCUAUUAUUCAAGUAAACAGUAUUUUACAGAAAGAGUUGAUAUUAGGCCAAGUGUGAUUUAUAACUAAUAUUCUGCAGAAGGUUUGAAUAUAUAAUUGUUAGAAGAGUAUUUGGAAUUUCAAUUAAGAGACUGAAAUAUUUUUUUUAAAUGAGACUUGAUCUUUCUUUCUAAAGUCUGUAAGAAAUAUAAAUAUACAGGUUAUGAUGUAUGUGGAAUGCAAUGUGCCAUUCCUCUGCAUAUCUGACCCUCCCCUGCUACAUACGCAUAUGCUUGCUUUUUUAAACACUUUCCAAGGCAGAGGGAAGAUGGGUAAAAGGUGACUUCACUAAGAGUGCCACACACAAAAGGCUUGCAAAUCAAGCCCAACUAUUUUAAACAAAUUCUUAUGCUGAAUGAUACUUUGGGUAUGCUCUUAAGACAUGAGCACAAGUUUUCUUUGCCCCUAAUUCAUACAAGUAAUAAUCCUGCCACCCAGACUGAACAUAGCAGUAGUCCAAGUGUUAACUGCUAGUCAAUAAACCUAAGGAUGGUAUAACCUAGUCUUGACUAACUCUAUCCUUGAUCUGUAGACUAAAAGCAUUACUAUGUUCCUUGGCACUAAAACCAACAAGGCUAAACUGGGGUUGUCUGCUCUCCAAACAACUGGCAUACAUAAUACUGCUCAUGUGGUUUCUACCCUUGUCCAGUUAUAUUUCCAACUCUGGUCCUGUGGGUAGAUAUAUAAGCAAGUCCAGGAAGAAUUUGUUUUACUUCUGUUAAAGUUUACUCUGAAACAAUUAAUUACAAAACUAUGAUCCUGUGAAAAAUCUUAGCACUGGACCAAGAACUCAUCUCUCUAGCACCAUAGUCAGUUCUGUCAACCAAGGGCAUUCUUUACGAGUGUUUGCCAAUUAGAUAUCUAGCUUAUGACAAGUUUCAUCUAGUUCAUGUUUAUCUAAAAUCCCUAGGAGAAUCUAACACGUAACCAUAUAACACAAGGUAAAACAAAGCAAUCUUAUAGUCUAUUUCCUGUAUUCAUUGCCAAAGAAGGAAGUUACUGGUAAAUUGCUUUAACAUUGUGCAUGUUUGCUUAUCCCAUGUUGCCCUCAAAUUUGCAUUUCAAUUUCUUACAAAUGGUCAAAUAUUGCCUUGUUAAAUAACUAAGCAUUAAAGUUAAGAUUGGUAGAUUUAUGCAGUCCUACCCCACAUCCCCCCUUUCUCUUUUAAUAUACUCUAAUGCACAUUAGCCCUUUUCUAGUCUUUCAGGAAUUCAGCAUAUAUCCUAUAGGUUCUAAAUGGCAAUCAGCAGCAAUCCCUCUCUGCUGGAUCCUUUGCUAAAUUAUAACAGGGUGAACUUUGUUGGGUCCUACACUCUUAAUAACUUCAUAUUAUCUAGGUAAUGUUAACCACUGAAUAUCCUUUUAACCAUAUUUAGUGAAGUGGAAGAAUCAGGAUUAAGCAAGAGAUGAUAAUCACAGAUUCUGAUGUUUAAAGGGUAGGUUUAAAGCUAAAAUAAAAGUCAGAUCUUAGAAGUGUUACAAAAUCACCUUUAGACACUGUGCCAGACUUCUGAGCUACCAGGAUGAGUUACUGCCAAGAUGAGUUAAUGCAACACCAACCCACAGGUAUAUACAAUUAAAAAAAAAGUGGCAGGCAAUAGGACAACACUGUACAAUGUGCAUUAAAGACACAACUCACAGUCAACAAGAGUUAACUCAGAAAUAGUCAAGUUUUGUGCUCUUUGGAGAAGAGCCCAAGAUCUAUAUCUACCCCACCGCUUAAUUCUAAGCUUACUGUCUCCUUCACAAUUGCUGUAUUAUUUCAUGCUGCCUCCACCCCAGCAAAAAAUUCGCUUAAAUAAACUACCAAAUAGUGACAUUCA